ACGUAAAAUAUUUGCACGUUUCCAGGUUACACACACUCAGCUCUUCCCUUUGCAUCUCCUGCCCCGGGCCACCUGUUGCACUCAUCACAGGUAAUGCAAGGCAGGCACAGAAUGCAGCCAAGGGACCGCAUUUGUGACUGGAGACAGACAAGGCAUUGUGGCCAAGAAAUAGAUUUUCAGAUAAUGCUUAAAGGUAAUUUUUCAGCCAAGCCUGGAAUCCAGACUGGAAAUUAACCCGUGGCCUGUCCCUCCUGUUGGGUUAGUGAGGAGCCAGAAGCUGCAGCAUUAGGACACCAAAGGGCCCUUUGUCAGAGGCUCAUUGUGUCACGCUGCCCAAUGCCAUGGCAGCACAGGGUGGUGUCACUGGUUUAAAAGCACAGCACAGAACUGGGAUGCUCCCACCCUCCUCACAUGACCUUGGCAGAACCUAAACACUGAUGCUGAAGAAGCCCUGGGUUAGCCCUAUCACAGACUUACCCCCGAUCUGGUUCAUCUCUCUAUUUCUCCAAUGUCCUGUGACCUAAAGAUGGAAAUGAGUCCCCAGCUCUUUAUGGCUACACCUGUAGAGUAUCAGGCACCCAGGAACAGAUCCUGCAGCUUCCAGAACUUUCUCAGUCACCCCAGGUGGGCUCAAGGUACUUUGGUCAGUCCUGGCAAUCUGCAGGUCACAAUUUGGUAAAACAAGGGACAUCUUUGGCUGUGGCAGGUUCUGUUCCAGGAAGCCAAGCCUGGCUCCUGUGUCAGCCAUAACGAGCUGGAAAGAUACUGGGAGUCAGGACAGGGAGCCAUGGGGCAGGGAGUUUGUGUCAGUGAACAUCAGGUCAAACAUCUGAACCAUGAAGGGGCUGCCCUGGGCUGCUGCAUGCACACUGAGUUGGUCCAGGAUUGGCUGGAAGUGUUGAAACCUAUCCCUUCAAGUUCACGCCUGCCUUGGCCACUGUCCUAAUUAAACUGGCAUGCAAAUUGGGAGCUGAUAAAACACAUCCCACUGUCCAGGACAUGCACAGGCAUUUUUUUCCAUGUGUUCACAGCUUUAGUCAGAUACUACAGGAUUUCAGCUUUCUGAAGGCCUAAUCUAGAUUUGGAAUUUAAUUUCCAAACUGUGCUGCUUCUUAGUUCUGUUCACAGGGAUAUUUAGUCAUUACUGGUUCAUAACUCCAGUCCUGUGUACUCCAACUCAUCUGAGGUCUCUGUGCUGUAUUUUCAAAGGUGAUAACAUCCAAAAUGGGCAGUGUCUCCAUGUGGAGGAAGAAGUGCUGAGUGGGAAUCCAUUACCAAUACUGCAGAGCCAGGUUAAUGCUACCUGGCGGGAUGCCGCUGACAGCAACACAAUUGCUCCUGUCUCUUGCUCGCAGCACUGGCAGUUCCAGAAAAAAUGUCCUAAUUUCAGAGAAGGAAA